rnacentral:rRNA from 1 species
GAUGAACGCUGGCGGCGUGCUUAACACAUGCAAGUCGAACGGAAAGGCCCAAGCUUGCUUGGGUACUCGAGUGGCGAACGGGUGAGUAACACGUGGGUGAUCUGCCCUGCACUUCGGGAUAAGCCUGGGAAACUGGGUCUAAUACCGGAUAGGACCACUUCUUGGAUGUUGUGGUGGAAAGUUUUUUCGGUGUGGGAUGAGCUCGCGGCCUAUCAGCUUGUUGGUGGGGUAAUGGCCUACCAAGGCGUCGACGGGUAGCCGGCCUGAGAGGGUGUACGGCCAAAAUGGGACUGAGGUACGGGCCAGGAUCCUACGGGGGGGAGCAGGGGGGAAAAAUGCAAAAUGGGCGCAAGGCGGAUGCAGCGACGCCGCGGGGGGGAUGACGGGCUUCGGGUUGUAAAAUCCUUUCGCUAGGGACGGAGCGUUUUGUGACGGUAACUGGAGAAGAAGCACCGGCUAACUACGUG